AUUGAACGCUGGCGGCAGGCCUAACACAUGCAAGUCGGGCGAGCGGCGGACGGGUGAGUAAUGUAUGGGGACUGCCCGAUAGAGGGGGAUAACUACUGGAAACGGUGGCUAAUACCGCAUACUAUCGGAUAACCCAUAUGGGAUUAGCUCGUAGGUGGGGUAAAGGUUCACCUAGGCGACGAUGUCUAGCUGGUCUGAGAGGAUGAUCAGCAACACUGGGACGGAGACACGGCCCAGAAUCCGACGGAGGCAGCAGUGGGGAAUAUGGCACAAGGGGCGCAAGCCUGAUGCAGCCAAGCGGGGAGUAUGAAGAAGGCCUUAGGGUUGUAAAGUACUUUCAGCGGGGAGGCGGUACCCGCAGAAGAAGCACCGGCUAACUCCGUGCCAGCAGCCGCGGUAAUAC
rnacentral:rRNA from 1 species